UACGGAGGGUGCAAGCGUUUAUCCGGAUUCACUGGGUUUAAAGGGUGCGUAGGAGGGCAGGUAAGCCAGUGGUGAAAUCCCCGAGCUUAACUUGGGAACUGCCGUUGAUACUAUCUGUCUUGAAUGUUGUGGAGGUAAGCGGAAUAUGUCAUGUAGCGGUGAAAUGCUUAGAUAUGACAUAGAACACCAAUUGCGAAGGCAGCUUGCUACACAAUUAUUUGACUCUGAUGCACGAAAAGCGUGGGGAUCAAACAGG
rnacentral:rRNA from 1 species